CGUCAAAUGCCCUAUGCUGGGCACCUUAUGGGACGCCAGGAAGGACGAUACCGGAAAUGAGCUAUGGAGACAGGGCCACGCAAGGUCAAAGUGAGCCUUGAGCUGUAGCUUGGGGCCGGCCUGAAGACUUGAAGGGUUUGGGGCAGGGCAGACCUGUACCUUAGGACCAGCGCGGUGGCGCUGUAGGUGACGACGUCUCGGAGGAGGUCAGCACCGCCCUCCAAAUGUCCAGCUGUAUGAGGAUAUGGUGUCUGGAGCUGUGGCAGCCACCUUGAGAUCAUGAAGUGACAAGCAUGAAGGCAAAAGCCAAUACGCUCAAGGUAGAGUAGGGAGAUGGAAAGAACAUGGAGCCUUGAUGACAUCAGUGUGUCCCUGAAUUAACCACCCUGGAAUAUCCUCCCUCAAGAAACUUGUCAGUUUCCAGGAACCAGGAAUCCAGAAGCAGCUUACCUGGAAGGUUCUGGCUCAAGGUCUUUCAUGAGGUUGCAGUCAAGAUGCUGGGCAGCAUGGCAGGUAUCUGAAGGCUUGACUGGGGCUGGCAGAUCCUUUCCCAAGAUGGCACACUCACGUGGCUGUUGGCCAGAGGCCUCAGUUCCUCACCAUGUGGACCUCUUUAUAGAGCAGCUUGAGUGUCCUUACAAUAUGGCAGCUGGCUUUUUCCAGAAUGAAAGUGACUCAAAAGUGAGAGAAAGGAAGAGGCUACAUGCUCUAUAUGACCUAGUCUCUGAAAUCACACACUGUCUCUUCUAUCUUAUUCUGUUUGUUAGAAGCAAGUCACAUAGCUCAAGGGGAGAUAAAUUAAGCUCCAUCUUUUAAAGGGAAGCACAUUGGCCUAGUGUGGUGGCUCACACCUCUAAUCCCAGCACUUUAGGAGGUCACAGGGGGAGGAUCACUUGAGCCCAGGAGUUCGGGACAAGUCUGGACAACACAGUGAGACUCUGCUUCUAUGAAAAAUAUAAAAAUUAGCCAGGCAUGGUGGCAGGCACCUAUAGUUCCAGCUACGCACCUGUAGUCCUCAGUCCCACGCUGAGGUAGGAGGAUCUCUUGAGCCCAGGAGUUCUAGACCAGUCUGGGCAAUAUAGUGAGAUCCCAUCUCUGCAAAUACAUUAAAAAAAUUAGCCAAGUGGGGUGGCAUGCACCUGUAGUCCCAGCUACUCAGGAGGCUGAGGUGGGAGGACCCCUUAAGUCCAGGAGUUCAAGGCUGCGGUGAGCUAUGAUUGCACCACUGCCUGGGCAAUAGAGUGAGACUCUCUCAAAAAAUAAAACAAAGGGAGCUGUAUCAAUGAAUUUUUGGAUUUAAAACCACCAUAGCUACUUUCAGCUGUGCCCUCUUUAUUUAUAGAGAUCCUCAAAGCCGAUAUUCUUUACAUCACACAUCACUGCCAGGCCGGGCAGGGAAAAAUUGUGUGCUCAGGAGAUUACAACAGACCCAAUAAUCCUCAGAAGACUUUUCAACUGAGAAAUCCUCCAGUUCCAAAAGAUUCUUGCAGAAUAAGUCUGCUUAAAGGUAUAUAUGCCUGUAUAAACAUGCCCUACCUAAAAAUAAACUUAGAUGUAAUCAUCCAUUAGGAAAUACCAAAAAUACACAAAAAGGGAUAAAGAAUAAUUUUAAAACUCCUUUGACCCACUACCUCGCUUAAGAAAUAAAAUAAUACCCACGUGAUGGAAACUCUAGAUCUUCAUAUACUCUGAUCAUAUUGUUCUUCUCACCUGCAGUGGGAACCACGACCCAUAUUUGGAUGUUUUUCAUUCCCACAAGUUUUUUUUGUUGUUUUUUUUUUUGAGACAGCGCCUCUCUCUGUCACCCAGGCUGGAGGGCAGUGGUGCGAUCUCAGCUUACUGCAACCACUGCCUCCUGGGUUCAAGUGAUUCUCCUGCCUCAGUCUCCUGAGUAGCUGGGAUUACAGGCACCCACCACUACGCCCAGUUAAUUUUUUGUAUUUUUUUUAGUAGAGACACAGUUUCUCCAUGUUGGCCAGGCUGGUCUCAAACUCCUGAGCUCAAGUGAUCAGCCUGCCCAAGUGCUGGGAUUACAGGCAUGAGCCACCGCUCCUGGCCCCACUACUUUCUUUAACUGUGCCUGGUAUAGACCUGUGCAAUGUCUGGUAUCAUUUUGCAUGUUUCUAAGCUUUGUGGAAAUGAGGGCAUACUGAACGUAUUCUUCUGACACUUGAUUUUUUUUCUCUACACUAUGUAUGUAAGCUUCAACCACGCAAGGAGAUGGAAAAAUGGAAAUCUCAUACAUUGCUGAUGGGAAGGUAAAAUGGUGCAGCUGCUUCAGAAAACAGUCUGGCAGUUUCUCAAAAAGUAACAGAGAAUUGCUGUAUAACCCAUCCACUCCUAGGUAUAUACUUGAGAGAAAUAAAACAUAUGUCCAUAUAAAAGCCUGUACGUGAAUGUUCCCAGCAGUGUUAUUUAUAUUUUUUGUUUUCUUUAAAUACCCUGCUGGAUGCCAGAGUGUUAUUUAUAAUAGUUUUAAAAAGUGGAAACAACUCAAAUGUCCAUCAGUUGAUAAGUGGAUAAAAUGUGGCAUAUCCAUACAGUGGAAUAUUAUUUGGUCGGAAAAUGGAACGAAGUACUGAAACAUGCUACAACAAGGAUGAACCUUGGAAUUGUGCUAAGUGAACAAAGCCAGGCCCAAAAGACCACAUAGUAUACAAUUCCAUUUAUGUGAAAUAUUCAGAAUAGGGCAAAUCCAUAGAGACAGAAAGUAGAUUAGCGGUUGCCUGGGGCUGGGGGUAGGGAGGAUUGGAGAGUGACUGCUCAGUGAGUACAAGGUUUAUUUUGGGGAUGGUGAUAAUAUUCUGGAAUUAGAUCAUGGUGAUGGUUGCACAACUUUGCGACUAUACUAAAAACCACAGCAUUGUACACUUUUAAAAGUCAAUUUUAUGACAUAUACAUUCUAUCUCAAUAAAAACAGAUUCAACCACAGUAUUCAUCUGUUCUCACACUGCUAAUACAGACAUACCCGAGACUGGGUA